UAUUGGUCAAUGGGCGAGAGCCUGAACCAGCCAAGUCGCGUGAGGGACGACUGCCCUAUGGGUUGUAAACCUCUUUUGUAUGGGGGGAAUAAGCUGUACGAGUAGAGCGAUGACAGUACCAUACGCAUAAGCAUCGGAUAAAUCCGUGCCAGCAGCCGCGGUAAUACGGAGGAUGCGAGCGUUAUCCGGAUUGAUUGGGUUUAAAGGGUGCGUAGUCGGCAUUAUAAGUUAGUGGUAAAAUAUUGGGGCUUCACCUCACUACGCCAUUAAUACUGUAGAGCUAGAGAACAGACGAGGUAGGCGGAAUAAGUUAAGUAGCGGUGAAAUGCAUAGAUAUAACUUAGAACACCGAUAGCGAAGGCAGCUUACCAGACUGAGUCUGACGCUGAUGCACGAGAGCAUGGGUAGCGAACAGG
rnacentral:rRNA from 1 species